AUGCGUGGCAAAGCGGCCGCGGGAGGAGGCGACUCCGACUGAGGAAAGUCCGAGCACGGCAGGACACGGUGGUGGGUAACGCCCACCCGCCCGAUGGUUCCGGGGCGAGGGAAAGUGCCACAGAGAGCAGACCGCCGAUGGCCUCGGGCAACCGGGGCACAGGCAAGGGUGAAAGGGUGCGGUAAGAGCGCACCGCCCGGUUGGUGACAGCCGGGGCAUGGUAAACCCCACCGCGUGCAAGCCCAAGCAGUUCCCCGCUGUUGUGUUCGCGCAGCACGGCUUGUCCGGCCGAUGGGAACGGGUAGGGUGCUCGGGGCCUUGAGCCCCGGACCGCGUCGGCAACGGCGCGGCGAGAGAAAUGGCCGCUCGGGUCGGCAGGCCUGUCUCCGGUGGCACCGGCUUCCAGCCGGUGUCGAGCCCCCGUCAAAGGGCCGGAAGCGGGAACCGACGGCCCCGACAGAACUCGGCUUACCAGCUGCGCAGGACC
rnacentral:RNase_P_RNA from 1 species